AUACGGAAGGCAGCAGUGAGGAAUUUUCUGCAAUGGGCGAAAGCCUGACAGAGCAAUACCGCGUGAGGGAAGAAGGCUUACUGAGUUGUAAACCUCGGUGCCUUAAGGAAGAAGAUCUGACGGUACUUAAGGUGGAAAGCAUCGGCUAACCCCGUGCCAGCAGCCGCGGUAAGACGGGGGAUGCAAGUGUUAUCCGGAAUCACUGGGCGUAAAGCGUCUGCAGGUGGUUUUCUAAGUCCACUGUUAAACCUUGAGGCUCAACCUCAAAUCUGCAGUGGAAACUAGGGAACUUGAGGAUAGUAGGGGUAGAGGGAAUUUCCAGUGGAGCGGUGAAAUGCGUAGAUAUUGGAAAGAACACCGAUGGCGAAGGCACUCUACUGGGCUAUGACUGACACUCAGAGACGAAAGCUAGGGGAGCAAAUGGGAUUAGAUACCCCAGUAGUCCC
rnacentral:rRNA from 1 species